rnacentral:rRNA from 1 species
AUGGUCCUCGCGCCCGCGCCGCGCUCCCCGGAGCCCGUGCGAGUCGUCAUGGCGCACUCCGUCGAGAUGGAGGAGGCCGAGCAGGUGCUUGCCCGCGCAAUGGUGGCCUCCAUCACCGGCAACAGGCCAUCCGUGUCCACGACCGAGGUGUCCGACCUGCUCAUCAGCGCGCUCGAGCUCUCGGAGGGUGACUUCACGGUCCACGAGCACCACCCCGAGGAUUUCCUUAUCCUCUGCUCCUCCCACACCACCAAGCGCCGCCUCGACGGCGACCACUUCAUCAACUCUCCGUGCUUCUCCCUUUCACUCCGGCCAUGGAGCAAGCUCGCCCAUGCCGGCUCUGGUGUGUUCGAGUACCGCGUUGAGCUAGAACUCCGCGGCAUUCCAGCCCAAGCCUGGCACCUGUCAACAGCGGAGCACAUUUUGGGGGAAAGCUGUUGGAUCGAGCGUCUGCAUCCUCGCACGCGCUCGCGGGACGACCUGGCCACCUUCCGGCUAUCUGGCCGCACGCACGACCCCGCCCACAUCCGCCGCACCGCCAUCCUCGAGAUCGUCGAGCAGAUUCCCUCGCGCAUAAGCUCCGAAGCGCCGACCAUCAGGACGCUCACGUUCCCCAUCUCCGUUGUGAUCACGCGCGCCGACAUGAUCCAGCCGGUCUCCACCGGGUUCCAGGCCGACACCGACCGCGACAGGAGUUGCGCCGGUAACCCACCAGGCCCAGACCAAGGACCCGGCCGCGGACGCGCCCGCCGACGCGGCCGCAAGCGACGGAGGACUGAUGCGCAGCCGGGCGGGCGCGCGGAUGGCAUGGCCGUCGAUUCGCUGGGCUGGCACGCCGGCGACCGCUCCGGCCGCAUUGACGGGGUGAACACGGCCUCCUCUUGGCCCACUCCGGCCGGCGUGGUGCCGCGGCCGCCCGCGCCCACCACGAGGAACGGCAUGCUGCCAUGGCCAGGUCAGCAGGGGCCCACCCAAUCUCGUCGCCGCUCCAGAAAAUGGAAAAGCAAGAGAAGGCAAAGGCACACUUUUGGCAUGGACCAGGCGCGCAAGGCUGCGACCGCCACAGGAGAUGCCAGGGUCGGGGCCACCACGGCUGCUGGCGAGACGUCAUUGGCUGCAGGGCCAUCAGAAGCCUCCACAGAUUCAAACUCCGCCCCAGCCCCCGAGCCCGAGGAGGAUCCCGCUGGGCCAACCGCUGGCUCACAUGAUCCGAUGGCUUGUCGGGACCUGGCCGCCCUGAGCGAGGUGCCAGACUCGCAGCCUGAGGAGCCAGCCGAGCAGACCGGCCUGUCGGGACAAAGCGGUUCUUUGCACACGUACUCCCCGUCAGCGGGACCGGGCGCAUGCGCUGACCUGUCCACGCGGCCCCACCCCCCGCGACGCGCCAGAUGGGGAGAUGCGAGAGGCCACAACCCCUGCCUGCCCGACAGGCCUUGCUGA